UACGUAGGGUGCGAGCGUUGUCCGGAAUUAUUGGGCGUAAAGAGCGUGUAGGCGGCCAGUUAGGUCUGGUGUGAAAACUCGAGGCUUAACCUCGAGAUGUCAUCGGAAACCAUCUGGCUAGAGUCCGGAAGAGGAGAGUGGAAUUCCUGGUGUAGCGGUGAAAUGCGCAGAUAUCAGGAAGAACACCGAUUGCGAAGGCAGCUCGCUGGAACGUUACUGACGCUGAGGCGCGAAAGCGUGGGGAGCAAACAGG
rnacentral:rRNA from 1 species